UACGUAGGGUGCGAGCGUUAAUCGGAAUUACUGGGCGUAAAGCGUGCGCAGGCGGUUCGUUGUCGUCGGCGGUGAAAGCCCCGGGCUUAACCUGGGAAUGGCCCGUCGAAACUGGCGAACUGGAGUGUGGCAGAGGGGGGUGGAAUUCCGCGUGUAGCAGGUGAAAUGCGUAGAGAUGCGGAGGAACACCGAUGGCGAAGGCAGCCCCCCUGGGCUGACACUGACGCUCAGGCACGAAAGCGCUGGGGAGCAAACAGG
rnacentral:rRNA from 1 species